rnacentral:tRNA from 1 species
GGACGCAUAGCUCAGCUGGUUAGAGUGCCUGCUUCACACGCAGGAAGUCGAGGGUUCGAGCCCCCCUGUGUCCACCA